CCUACGGGAGGCAGCAGUGAGGAAUAUUGGUCAAUGGACGAGAGUCUGAACCAGCCAAGUAGCGUGAAGGAUGACUGCCCUAUGGGUUGUAAACUUCUUUUAUAUGGGAAUAAAAUGUUCCACGUGUGGGAUUUUGUAUGUACCAUAUGAAUAAGGAUCGGCUAACUCCGUGCCAGCAGCCGCGGUAAUACGGAGGAUCCGAGCGUUAUCCGGAUUUAUUGGGUUUAAAGGGAGCGUAGGUGGAUUGUUAAGUCAGUUGUGAAAGUUUGCGGCUGCACCGUAAAAUUGCAGUUGAAACUGGCAGUCUUGAGUACAGUAGAGGUGGGCGGAAUUCGUGGUGUAGCGGUGAAAUGCUUAGAUAUCACGAAGAACUCCGAUUGCGAAGGCAGUUCACUGGACUGCAACUGACACUGAGGCUCGAAAGUGUGGGUAUCAAACAGGAUUAGAUACCCUAGUAGUC
rnacentral:rRNA from 1 species